UAGGGAAGUCCGCACAGUGUCAAUGCAGAUACUACUUAGCCCGGAGCUUGGUGGCUGGGCUCAUUUUCUUCUUUCCAAUCGGAGGUCUCUGCCGCAAACAUGCUCCGCCACAUCUUAGGUCAGGCCAAGAAGCAUCCGAGCUUGAUCCCCCUCUUUGUAUUUAUUGGAGCUGGAGGUGGGGGAGCAGCCCCGUAUCUCUUGCGUUUGGCAUUGUUCAAUCCAGAUGUUUGUUGGGACAAAAAGAAUAACCCAGAGCCCUGGAACAAACUGGGUCCCAAUGAUCAAUAUAAGUUCUACUCUGUGAAUGUGGAUUAUAGCAAGCUGAAGAAAGAACGUCCAGAUUUCUAAGUGAAAUGUAAAGCUGCUUUAAAAUGAAGGUCUUCCAGAAGCCAUCCGCACAAUUUUCCACUGAACCAGGAAAUAUUUCUUCUCUAAAUGCAUGAAAUCAUGUUAAUGUAAUCUAUUGCUGAUUACACUGAUUAAUAAAUAACUGAAACUUGAA